rnacentral:rRNA from 1 species
GCCACGGCCAUACCAGCCUGGGUACGCCCGAUCUUGUCUGAUCUCGGAAGCUAAGCAGGGUCGGGCCUGGUUAGUACUUGAUGGGAGACCGCCUGGGAAUACCAGGUGCUGUAAGCA